UACGUAGGGUGCAAGCGUUAAUCGGAAUUACUGGGCGUAAAGCGUGCGCAGGCGGUUUUGUAAGUCUGUCGUGAAAUCCCCCGGGCUCAACCUGGGAAUUGCGAUGGAGACUGCAAGGCUAGAAUCUGGCAGAGGGGGGGUAGAAUUCACGUGUAGCAGUGAAAUGCGUAGAGAUGUGGAGGAACACCGAUGGCGAAGGCAGCCCCCUGGGUCAAGAUUGACGCUCAUGCACGAAAGCGUGGGGAGCAAGCAGG
rnacentral:rRNA from 1 species